rnacentral:rRNA from 1 species
UACGUAGGUGGCAAGCGUUGUCCGGAUUUACUGGGCGUAAAGAGCGCGCAGGCGGUCGUUUAAGUCGAAUGUGAAAGCCCCCGGCUCAACUGGGGAGGGUCAUUCGAUACUGAUCGACUUGAAGGCAGGAGAGGGUAGUGGAAUUCCCAGUGUAGAGGUGAAAUUCGUAGAUAUUGGGAAGAACACCGGUGGCGAAGGCGGCUAUCUGGCCCGUAAUUGACGCUGAGGCGCGAAAGCGUGGGGAGCAAACAGG